AUUGAACGCUGGCGGCAUGCCUUACACAUGCAAGUCGAACGGCAGCACGGGUGCUUGCACCUGGUGGCGAGUGGCGAACGGGUGAGUAAUACAUCGGAACAUGUCCUGUAGUAGGGGAUAGCCCGGCGAAAGCCGGAUUAAUACCGCAUACGAUCUACGGAUGAAAGCGGGGGACCUUCGGGCCUCGCGCUAUAGGGUUGGCCGAUGGCUGAUUAGCUAGUUGGUGGGGUAAAGGCCUACCAAGGCGACGAUCAGUAGCUGGUCUGAGAGGACGACCAGCCACACUGGGACUGAGACACGGCCCAGACUCCUACGGGAGGCAGCAGUGGGGAAUUUUGGACAAUGGGCGAAAGCCUGAUCCAGCAAUGCCGCGUGUGUGAAGAAGGCCUUCGGGUUGUAAAGCACUUUUGUCCGGAAAGAAAUCCUUGGCCCUAAUACGGUCGGGGGAGGACGGUACCGGAAGAAUAAACACCGGCUAACUACGU
rnacentral:rRNA from 1 species